GCUGAAGAUAAUGAGUCUUUAGUCUUUACCCCUAGCCCAAGAGACAAGGAUUGAAAAGCAUCACAAGAAUCUUGACUAAGGUACCUCCAAUGUUGUCAAUUUAGCUACACAAUCUAAUUACCAACCGCAUGUGCCCAUCUUCUUAAACAUCAUCACAUACAGUCGUCAGAACCAGAAAUAUUGAAACCCAGGUUGAAACCACAUGCAGCCUGGAUUUCAGUGGAUGGAUCAGCACUGACGCCAUUAGGAUCAGCCCUCAACAAAGCAUUCUGGGCGCAUACAGAUGUCAAGUUGGCUCCAAUGGUGGCUCAAGAGCUUGUAUUUGGCGCAUGCUAUAUCAGCAUCCAUCAGACAGGCUAAGACCAACGGCACUGGUGACAAAAGCAAUGGCACAAGGUCGGAGAUCAGCCGUAAAACCCUGGUACGAUGGUUGUCCAAUGCUGAUUUUGGUAUAGAUUAGCCCCAGCACGAGGAUGAGGAAAGCUGCCUUCAUCAC
rnacentral:lncRNA from 1 species